rnacentral:rRNA from 1 species
UGGCGGCAGGNUUAACACAUGCAAGUCGAACGGGUGUAGCAAUACAUCAGUGGCAGACGGGUGAGUAACACGUGGGAACCUUCCUAGGGGUACGGAACAACUCAGGGAAACUUGAGCUAAUACCGUAUACGUCCGUGAGGAGAAAGAUUUAUCGCCCUUAGACGGGCCCGCGUCGGAUUAGGUAGUUGGUGGGGUAAUGGCCUACCAAGCCUACGAUCCGUAGCUGAUCUUAGAGGAUGAUCAGCCACACUGGGACUGAGACACGGGCCAGACUCCUACGGGAGGCAGCAGUGGGGAAUCUUGGGCAAUGGGCGCAAGCCUGAUCCAGCCAUGCCGCGUGAAUGAAGAAGGCCUUAGGGUUGUAAAGCUC